rnacentral:rRNA from 1 species
CCUACGGGAGGCUGCAGUGGGGAAUAUUGGGCAAUGGAGGAAACUCUGACCCAGCAACGCCGCGUGAAUGAUGAAGGUCUUCGGAUUGUAAAGUUCUUUUCUAAGGGAAGAAGAAAGUGACGGUACCUUAGGAAUAAGCCUCGACUAACUACGUGCCAGCAGCCGCGGUAAUACGUAGGAGGCAAGCGUUAUCCGGAAUUACUGGGCGUAAAGGGUGCGUAGGUGGUGUUAUAAGUCGGUAGCGUAACUCCGGGGCUCAACCUCGGCACUACUACCAAAACUGUCGGACUUGAGUGCAGGAGGGGUAACUGGAAUGCCUAGUGGAGCGGUGGAAUGCGUAGAUAUGAGGAGGAACACCAGUGGCGAAGGCGAGUUACUGGACUGUAACUGACACUGAGGCACGAAAGCGUGGGGAGCAAACAGGAUUAGAUACCCGGGUAGUC